rnacentral:sRNA from 1 species
GCCAGGCACAGUGGCGUAUGCCUGUAAUCCCAGUGAUUUGGGAAGCUGAGACAGGAGGAUCCCAAGUUCAAAGCCAGCCUCCUCAAAAGUGAGGGGCUAAGCACCUCAGUGAGAUCCUGUCUCUA